GAGACGAGAUGUGGCUGGAGACUGAGAGA
rnacentral:piRNA from 1 species